CACAAGGAUGUUUCUCUGAUUCCUCAAAAGGAACGGACCCAGGGACAAAAUGGUUUCUAAGCUGAUAAGGAAGUUCUCAAAACAAAGUCUUAGCUGCAGCAAAUAAGUUAAAGAAAAGGUUAUCUCGCCCCGCGCCUGCGCACUGUAUAGUUGCUGAAUCAUAGUGCUUGGCAACUUGCCCUGUAGAUUGUUGUGCAAAAGAUAUAAAGUAAAGCAGCUGCGAGAAGCGGGAGGAAAAAAUAGAAAGAUUCAAACCACCCUGCAGUGUUGGUGUUUCAUUCCGUCGCUAGCACCCACUGUCCAGAGCUUUUCCUCAUGCUCCAAUGUGGAAAUAAUAUUCAGAUCAGAAACAGAAAUUCUGGGACUUCCCUGGUGAUCCAGUGGUUAAGACUCUGCAUUUCCAAUGCAGGGGGUACAGGUCUGAUCCUUAGUCAGGGAACUAAGAUCCUACAUAUGGAAUGGCACAGCCAAAAAUAGUAAACAAGCAAGCAAAAACAAACAAGUAGAUAUUCAGUGUUAUCAGAAGAAAGAAAUCUAAAGUGCUCUGGAUUUUUUUAAACACUGAGCAAAAGUCAAAAGGCAGAAAAUAGGAAAUUGGNNNNNNNNNNNNNNNNNNNNNNNNNNNNNNNNNGAGCUUUGUAGAUAAUUAAGCUCUGGGACAACCUCAGAUAUGACAUGAAAUAGACACAGAAUCUGAAGAGGGUCAGUCUAACCUUGUGAAGCUGUGUCAUGCCCCAGUCACCAGAACUCUCACAUGUAAGACAUCAGGCCUCCCAAGGGGCACACAGGGAAAAUGCAGAUACCCAAGGGCACCUCUGGAAGGAAGUCAUCCUCACCCACAGACAGAAGGUUCCUAUAGGUCU
rnacentral:lncRNA from 1 species